UCAUGAAGCCCUUGGCAUUGCUGACACUUCUGCUCAUCACGAGUGGUUCUGCAGUGGGGCAAAUGUUGGAAUCUAAUGUGACUGGCUAUGUUGGAAAGGAUGUACUUUUAUCAUUUAACUGUUCUAAAGACCCUAAAGAGCUGAUAUGGCAGAAAGGUGAGAGAUUAGUGAAUGUUCAUUCACAAGACAAAAUCACCAUAGAUGAUUCCUACGUGGACAGGACACAACUCUUCAUAAACAUGGAGAAGAGAAACUGUUCCCUGCUGCUCCGCAACAUCUCUACAGCAGAUGCAGGACUGUACACCUGUUAUGCCAUAGACACUGUUGAUAACAAGGUCUGGACAAAGGAGUCUACAGAAGUUAAUUUAACAGUGGAGAUCAACCCUGAAAAAAGCGUCCAAACUGAAGAAGAAUCUGACACAGCUGUCCCUGUUAGUGUUCCCAUAGCGGUAGUACUGCUUAUACUGGCUGUUAUCCUGCUUCUAAUCCUACUGAUCAGAAGACAACAUCGGACACGCACGGUAAACAGUCAAUAUAAUAUGUUUCAAUGUUGUUGUUUUUUUUAUUAUCAUUUACUAAAUGACACAAAACAGCGUAGCAAAAAUGUCCACAAACAAUAAAAAUAUCUAAAAUACACUAGUCUAAGGGGUUGUUCACACCGAAUGCCUAUUUCUGUUUUAGACUGAUUUUCUAUGCAAACAUGAGCCAUUUAUUCAGCAUCUCAUGGCAUAAGCAUCACACUUUUGAAAUGUCAUGUUAAGUUGCAAACAGAUUAACUUAAAAAUGUGCUUCAAGACACCUGACACACAUUUUUGUUUCAGUCCUUUGCACUCCGUCUAUCUUCUUUUAAUUCCAAGAAUAUUACCCUUAAUGACGUUUGAGUUUUGCCAUGGUGCAGUAAAACCUUUUCCUGUAGUGGGCCAAUUCCUUGAAUAGCGCUCAUGGCAAAAGUAAACCUACACCAGUUGCAGUCACACACUUUCAGAGCACAGCUUUAGGGCUCAAGGUCCUGUGUUUGACAUGUGUUUAAUCAUAGUAUCUGUAACAUUUCCAAAAAGCCUGACUGUGUUUUUUUUGUUGUUGUUUUUGCUAUAGGACACUGAUUUACCGGCUGAGAAACCUAUGCUACAGAAUGUGUGAAGUGCUCUUGCUUGACAGUUUAAUGGACUUACUUCUAUGUUGUAAUGCAAGGUCCUUCACAACAACAACAAUGGACAAUAAGAGGCCUUAGCCCUAAACAAAUGCGUUCGCAUGUGGGCAUUACACAAUGGUGCGUGCUGAUCCGUCUCACUUUGAGACAGAUUAAUGUUCAGUUUUCAGUUGUAACACUGUUACUUGUUUACCACUGAAUUGUGAAUACACUGCGGAUAUACAUUCAGUAGGCAUUACAGUUUUGUAAUUUGACAAGAUUCUCCUUGUAGGAACUGUCUUUAUUCAUUCUUUGAAGAACAGAUGUGAGGGGUAGGGGACAUGCAGUUUGUAUUUUGCCUUUUCCUCUCUCUUUGAGACAAACUGGUGGUCUCAAUCCUAAACAAGCUUUCCAAAUAAUUUUAUUUUAUUGUUCAUAUGUGUACAGCAAUCAUUUACUAAGCACUCAUCAUGCAAGCUUCUUUACAUUUACUCUUGAAUUAGUUGUUUUACUCAGCCUGUGCUGAUUUCAUUUAUGUGGAAGAAAUAAUAUGGCACUCCCUAUGGGAUAUAUUUGCUUUUUUUACUGUACUAAAUUUCAUUUACUUUUAAAUGAAUUCUGUAAAGUGCUUCAAACCUGUCAAGGCAAUAAACCUUUUACAUAUACAGUUUUUCUUUGUAGU
ensembl:lncRNA